rnacentral:rRNA from 1 species
AGAGUUUGAUCAUGGCUCAGAUUGAACGCUGGCGGCAGGCCUAACACAUGCAAGUCGAGCGGAUGAAGGGAGCUUGCUCCUGGAUUCAGCGGCGGACGGGUGAGUAAUGCCUAGGAAUCUGCCUGGUAGUGGGGGAUAACGUCCGGAAACGGGCGCUAAUACCGCAUACGUCCUGAGGGAGAAAGUGGGGGAUCUUCGGACCUCACGCUAUCAGAUGAGCCUAGGUCGGAUUAGCUAGUUGGUGGGGUAAAGGCCUACCAAGGCGACGAUCCGUAACUGGUCUGAGAGGAUGAUCAGUCACACUGGGACUGAGACACGGUCCAGACUCCUACGGGAGGCAGCAGUGGGGAAUAUUGGACAAUGGGCGAAAGCCUGAUCCAGCCAUGCCGCGUGUGUGAAGAAGGUCUUCGGAUUGUAAAGCACUUUAAGAUGGGAGGAAGGGCAGUAAGUUAAUACCUUGCUGUUUUGACGUUACCAACAGAAUAAGCACCGGCUAACUUCGUGCCAGCAGCCGCGGUAAUACGAAGGGUGCAAGCGUUAAUCGGAAUUACUGGGCGUAAAGCGCGCGUAGGUGGUUCAGCAAGUUGGAUGUGAAAUCCCCGGGCUCAACCUGGGAACUGCAUCCAAAACUACUGAGCUAGAGUACGGUAGAGGGUGGUGGAAUUUCCUGUGUAGCGGUGAAAUGCGUAGAUAUAGGAAGGAACACCAGUGGCGAAGGCGACCACCUGGACUGAUACUGACACUGAGGUGCGAAAGCGUGGGAGCAAACAGGAUUAGAUACCCUGGUAGUCCACGCCGUAAACGAUGUCGACUAGCCGUUGGGAUCCUUGAGAUCUUAGUGGCGCAGCUAACGCGAUAAGUCGACCGCCUGGGGAGUACGGCCGCAAGGUUAAAACUCAAAUGAAUUGACGGGGGCCCGCACAAGCGGUGGAGCAUGUGGUUUAAUUCGAAGCAACGCGAAGAACCUUACCUGGCCUUGACAUGCUGAGAACUUUCCAGAGAUGGAUUGGUGCCUUCGGGAACUCAGACACAGGUGCUGCAUGGCUGUCGUCAGCUCGUGUCGUGAGAUGUAGGGUUAAGUCCCGUAACGAGCGCAACCCUUGUCCUUAGUUACCAGCACCUCGGGUGGGCACUCUAAGGAGACUGCCGGUGACAAACCGGAGGAAGGUGGGGAUGACGUCAAGUCAUCAUGGCCCUUACGGCCAGGGCUACACACGUGCUACAAUGGUCGGUACAAAGGGUUGCCAAGCCGCGAGGUGGAGCUAAUCCCAUAAAACCGAUCGUAGUCCGGAUCGCAGUCUGCAACUCGACUGCGUGAAGUCGGAAUCGCUAGUAAUCGUGAAUCAGAAUGUCACGGUGAAUACGUUCCCGGGCCUUGUACACACCGCCCGUCACACCAUGGGAGUGGGUUGCUCCAGAAGUAGCUAGUCUAACCGCAAGGGGGACGGUUACCACGGAGUGAUUCAUGACUGGGGUGAAGUCGGAACAAGGUA